GUCCAGCAGGCGGGUAAUACCGGCAGCCCGAGUGAUGGCUGAUAUUAUUGGGCCUAAAGCGUCCGUAGCUGGCUGCGCAAGUCCGUCGGGAAAUCCACUCGCCCAACGAGUGGGCGUCCGACGGAAACUGCACAGCUUGGGACCGGAAGGCUCGAAGGGUACGUUCGGGGUAGGAGUGCAAUCCCAUAAUCCCGCACGGACCACCGAUGGCGAAAGCACUUCGAGAAAACGGAUCCGACAGUGAGGGACGAAAGCCAGGGUCUCCAACCGGAUUAGAUACCCCAGUAGUCC
rnacentral:rRNA from 1 species